rnacentral:lncRNA from 1 species
UUUUGAGAUAGAUGAUAAUAUUUUUGAAUGCAGUACUGGAAAGAAGAGAGGAGACAGUACACGUUGACACCGCAGAUGCAGACGCUUUGAACUCCAGAAGGAA